GGGAGUGAAUGGGUGCUGGUGUGCCUCCUGGUCUUCAAAACCAGUGUGACGUCGCAAAGGCGUCGGGUGGGUUCGAUUCCCACACAUUCCC
rnacentral:tRNA from 1 species